AUUCAAAACUCUGUGCUUUCCCUAAAGUGAUCGGGAUAUGCGUGCAGUCCUUCUGACCGCGAGCACUCGUGUUUUAUUUCCUUGCUGUUAAGUGCUUUGUACAUACUAUUCUUCUGCAACAGAAAAAAAUUUUUCUCACGGCUCAAUGUACACGAAGGCUACAGUAAACAUUCCGGAAAUUUUACACGAGCAUCACCCAACGUGCGUCACGCAAUCAACCAUAAUUCCCACGUGCAAUUUGUAGCAAACGACGGCGCAAUGAGCAGGAAUUAUGAAAACGUCAAUGUAAACAAAUAUGAAUGCAAUACGUUGGACAUGGCACGCGACCUGAAAUAGAAACUGCAGAUAGAGUUGGCGAACAGCCAGCAAAGUAAUGACGAAUUUCAAAGACUUUUUGAAAGUCCUCAAGAAAGUUGGAACAUUACAAAGGACUAAGGAAACGACUCGAAAUGGCAAUGGAAACUACAAGUGCGUUAGCUGCGAUCAAACACGAAUAUUAUGCGAGGAUGACAGUGACUAAUGAAAAUGGCAAAAUGAUCAAACAGAUCGAAAGUCCAGGUUCGAAGUCUUCGAUAACGUUUUACAACUAUAAAUAAUUCAUCUUAUUCUGCCUGCAGAUUAUCCGGCGCGUGGUUGACUUCGCUUUCGCCUUAAUUUCAUACAAUCACGAGACACGUGACAGUCACGUUUUUAUCCUGGAAUCGAAUUGAUUUAUCUGAAUCCCAGAUAAAGAUUCUAAUAUAAGUAUAUAUAAUUUUAUGGCUCCAUAAUAUGAAUCGACACGUGUAAUCAAUGUCGGAUGAUACUUGGCGAUUAAUUAAAAGGUCAUACGACGCGA